rfam:Ictidomys tridecemlineatus contig114337, whole genome shotgun sequence.
GGGGCUGUAGCUCAGUGGCAGAGUGCUCACCUAGCAUGUGUGAGGUACUGGAUUCGAUCCUCAGCACCA